GACAGAGGGUGCAAACGUUUGUUCGGAAUUACUGGGCGUAAAGCGCGUGUAGGCUGCUCGGAAAGUCGGAUGUGAAAGCCCUGGGCUCAACCUAGGAAGUGCAUUCGAAACUUCCGAGCUGGAGUGCUGGAGAGGAAGGCGGAAUUCUCGGUGUAGAGGUGAAAUUCGUAGAUAUCGAGAGGAACACCGGUGGCGAAGGCGGCCUUCUGGACAGCCACUGACGCUGAGACGCGAAAGCGUGGGGAGCAAACAGG
rnacentral:rRNA from 1 species